CGGACGGGUGAGUAAUGUAUAGGAACUUGCCUAGUAGUGGGGGCAACGUGUGGAAACGCACGCUAAUACCGCAUACGCUCUACGGAGGAAAGCGGGGGAUCUUCGGACCUCGUGCUACUAGAUGGGCCUAUAUGGAUUAGCUAGUUGGUAGGUAAAGGCUACCAAGGCGACGAUCCAUAGCUGGUUUGAGAGAAUGAUCAGCCACACUGGGACUGAGACACGGCCCAG
rnacentral:rRNA from 1 species